CCCAGCCUACGGGGCGCAGCAGUAGGGAAUUUUCGUCAAUGGGCGCAAGCCUGAACGAGCAAUGCCGCGUGAACGAGGAAGGUCUUCGGAUCGUAAAGUUCUGUUGAAGGGGAAAAAGAGCGGAGAGAGGAAAUGGUCUCCGAUUGAUAUUACCCUUCGAGGAAGUCACGGCUAACUACGUGCCAGCAGCCGCGGUAAUACGUAGGUGACAAGCGUUGUCCGGAUUUACUGGGUGUAAAGGGCGCGUAGGCGGGAUAGCAAGUCAGUCGUGAAAUGCCG
rnacentral:rRNA from 1 species